CCGGUGCUGAUAAGCUGAAAUGCUGAUGCUGUCGCUGCAGUGGAACGGUCGAUGCAGGCGGGCACGGAGACAUUGGUUUUUAAAGUAAAGUGUAUUUUAUAAAAAGCGUCGCGGUUUAAAUCAAAUCGAAAAAGUUCAAAGAACAGAAAAGUGUACGGCGCUGCACUUGUUAAAAAAACGUAACGCGUAAAACACAAGAUCGUUGGAUCUGUCGCAGUCAUCUGUAAAAGCAGUUUCCCAAAAUUCAUAUUGUUGGGUUUAUCCAAUUUAAAAAGCACGUUAAAAGUAAGAUAAAAUUAAAAAUAAAAUUUAAUGUAGUAAGGGGGUGGUGUAGCCGUCACGUGUCUGCCUGUUCCCGGUGCUGAUGUGCUGACAUGCUGAUGCUGUCGCUGCAGUGGAACGGUCGAUGCAGGCGGGCACGGUGACAUUCGGUUUUAAAGUGUAGUGUCUUUUUUAUAAUACGACGCGGUUUAAAUCAAAUCGAAAAAGUUUAAAGAAAAGUGUGCGUAAAAUCAGUUUCACAAAAUUCACAUUGACUUUUGAAUAAUUGGACGUAAUCCAGUUUUAAAAAGUUAACGUUGAAACACAAAGUAAAGGUGUCACGUGUCUGCCUGUUCCCGGUGCUGAUGUGCUGACAUGCUGAUGCUGUCGCUGCAGUGGAACGGUCGAUGCAGGCGGGCACGGUGACAUUAGGUUUCAAAGAAAAGGGUAUUUUAUUAAAAGCGACGCGGUUUAUAUCAAAUCGAAAAAGUUCAAAAAACAGAAAAGUGUACGGCGCUGUACUUCUCAAAAAACGUAAUGCGUAAAACACAAAAUCGUUGGAUCUGUCGCAGUAGUCUGUAAAAGCAGUUUCCCAAAAUUCAUAUUGUUGGGUUUAUCCAAUUUAAAAAGCACGUUCAAAGUAAGAUAAAAUUAAAAAUUAAAUUUAAUGUAGAAGGGGUGGUGUAGCCGUCUCGUGCCUGCGUGUUCCCGGUGCUGAUGUGCUGACAUGCUGAUGCUGUCGCUGCAGUGGAACGGUCGAUACAGGCGGGCACGGUGACAUUAGGUUUCAAAGUGUAUUUUAUUUAUAUAUUUGUCAAAAAACGUAACGCGUAAAACACAAUAUCGUCGGAUCUGUCCAAAGUAAAUAAAAAUAAAAUUUAAUGUCGUAAGGGGUGGUGUAGCCGUCACGUGUCUGCCUGUUCCCGGUGCUGAUGUGCUGACAUGCUGAUGCUGUCGCUGCAGUGGAACGGUCGAUACAGGCGGGCACGGUGACAUUAGGUUUCAAAGUGUAUUUUAUUUAUAUAUUUGUCAAAAAACGUAACGCGUAAAACACAAUAUCGUCGGAUCUGUCCAAAGUAAAUAAAAAUAAAAUUUAAUGUCGUAAGGGGGUGGUGUAGCCGUCACGUGUCUGCCUGUUCCCGGUGCUGAUGUGCUGACAUGCUGAUGCUGUCGCUGCAGUGGAACGGUCGAUGCAGGCGGGCACGGUGACAUUAGGUUUCAAAGUGUAUUUUAUUUAUAUAUUUGUCAAAAAACGUAACGCGUAAAACACAAUAUCGUCGGAUCUGUCCAAAGUAAAUAAAAAUAAAAUUUAAUGUCGUAAGGGGGUGGUGUAGCCGUCUCGUGCCUGCCUGUUCCCGGUGCUGAUGUGCUGACAUGCUGAUGCUGUCGCUGCAGUGGAACGGUCGAUACAGGCGGGCACGGUGACAUUAGGUUUCAAAGUGUAUUUUAUUUAUAUAUUUGUCAAAAAACGUAACGCGUAAAACACAAGAUCGUUGGAUCUGUCCAAAGUUAACAAAAAUAAAAUUUAAUGUCGUAAGGGGGUGGUGUAGCCGUCACGUGUCUGCCUGUUCCCGGUGCUGAUGUGCUGACAUGCUGAUGCUGUCGCUGCAGUGGAACGGUCGAUACAGGCGGGCACGGUGACAUCGGGUUUUAAAAUGUAGUGUGUCUUAUUGCACGUUCUAAAGCGACGCGGUUUAAAUCCAAUCGAAAAAGUUUAAAGAAAAGUGUGCGUAAAAUCAGUUUCACAAAAUUCACAUUGACUUUUGAAUAAUUGGACGUAAUCCAGUUUUAAAAAGUUAACGUUGAAACACAAAGUAAAGGUGUCACGUGUCUGCCUGUUCCUGGUGCUGAUGUGCUGACAUGCUGAUGCUGUCGCUGCAGUGGAACGGUCGAUACAGGCGGGCACGGUGACAUCGGGUUUUAAAGUAAAGUGUAUUUUAUUAAAAGCGACGCGGUUUAAAUCAAAUCGAAAAAGUUCAAAGAACAGAAAAGUGUACGGCGCUGCACUUGUUAAAAAAACGUAACGCGUAAAACACAAGAUCGUUGGAUCUGUCGCAGUCAUCUGUAAAAUCAGUUUCCCAAAAUUCAAAUUGUCGGGUUUAUCCAAUUUAAAAAACCAAUUAAAAGUGAGACAAAACUAAAAAUAAAAUUUAAUGUCGUAAGGGGGUGGUGUAGCCGUCACGUGUCUGCCUGUUCCCGGUGCUGAUGUGCUGACAUGCUGAUGCUGUCGCUGCAGUGGAACGGUCGAUGCAGGCGGGCACGGUGACAUUAGGUUUCAAAGUGUAUUUUAUUUAUAUAUUUGUCAAAAAACGUAACGCGUAAAACACAAGAUCGUUGGAUCUGUCCAAAGUUAAGAAAAAUAAAAUUUAAUGUAGUAAGGGGGUGGUGUAGCCGUCUCGUGCCUGCCUGUUCCCG